CGAACGGGUGAGUAAUGCGUGGCCAACCUGCCCCAUGCUCCAGAAUAGCUCUUGGAAACGGGUGGUAAUGCUGGAUGCUCCAACUUGACGCAUGUCUUGUUGGGAAAGUGUUUAGUGGCAUGGGAUGGGGUCGCGUCCUAUCAGCUUGUAGGCGGGGUAAUGGCCCACCUAGGCUUCGACGGGUAGCCGGCCUGAGAGGGCGGACGGCCACAUUGGGACUGAGAUACGGCCCAGACUCCUACGGGAGGCAGCAGGC
rnacentral:rRNA from 1 species